rnacentral:rRNA from 1 species
UGGGGAAUAUUGCACAAUGGGCGAAAGCCUGAUGCAGCAACGCCGCGUGAGUGAUGAAGGCCUUCGGGUUGUAAAGCUCUGUCUUUUGGGACGAUAAUGACGGUACCAAAGGAGGAAGCCACGGCUAACUACGUGCCAGCAGCCGCGGUAAUACGUAGGUGGCAAGCGUUGUCCGGAUUUACUGGGCGUAAAGGAUGCGUAGGCGGAUUUUUAGGUGAGAUGUGAAAACCCUAAGCUUAACUUGGGGACUGCAUUUCAUACUGGAAAUCUAGAGUGCGGGAGAGGAGAAUGGAAUUCCUAGUGUAGCGGUGAAAUGCGUAGAGAUUAGGAAGAACACCAGUGGCGAAGGCGAUUCUCUGGACCGUAACUGACGCUGAGGCAUGAAAGCGUGGGUAGCAAACAGGAUUAGAUACCCUGGUAGUCCACGCCGUAAACGAUGAGUACUAGGUGUAGGAGGUAUCGACCCCUUCUGUGCCGCAGUUAACACAAUAAGUACUCCGCCUGGGAAGUACGAUCGCAAGAUUAAAACUCAAAUGAAUUGACGGGGUCAUAGCUG